rnacentral:rRNA from 1 species
UACGUAGGGCGCAAGCGUUAUCCGGAAUGAUUGGGCGUAAAGGGUCCGCAGGUGGCAAUGUGUGUCUGCUGUCAAAGAAUGAGGCUUAACCUCAUCAAGGCAGUGGAAACUACAUAGCUAGAGUACGGUCGGGGUAGAAGGAAUUCCUGGUGUAGCGGUGAAAUGCGUAGAGAUCAGGAAGAACACCGGUGGCGAAAGCGUUCUGCUAGACCUGUACUGACACUGAGGGACGAAAGCUAGGGGAGCGAAUGGG